AUUGAACGCUGGCGGCAGGCCUAACACAUGCAAGUCGAGCGAGAGGCGGACGGGUGAGUAAUGUAUGGGGACUUCCCGAUAGAGGGGGAUAACUAAUGGAAACGGUGGCUAAUACCGCAUACUAUCGGAUAACCCAUAUGGGAUUAGCUAGUAGGGGGGGUAAAGGCGCACCUAGGCGACGAUUUCUAGCUGGUCUGAGAGGAUGAUAAGCCACACUGGGACUGAGACACGGCCCAGACUCCUACGGAGGCAGCAUUGGGGAAUAUUGCACAAUGGGCGCAAGCCUGAUGCAGCCAUGCCGCGUGUAUGAAGAAGGCCUUAGGGUUGUAAAGUACUUUCAGCGGGGAGGCGUUACCCGCAGAAGAAGCACCGGCUAACUCCGUGCCAGCCGCCGCGGUAAUAC
rnacentral:rRNA from 1 species